AUGCAUCUCUGCGCGUGCGCCGAAUUAGUUACCGCAAUACGCAUGCGCGAGUUCUGUAGCCGCACUACGCAUGCGCCAAUUCUAGUACUCCAAUACGCAUGCGCGAGUUCUGUAGCCGCACUACGCAUGCGCCAGCUCACACACUUCAACACGCAUGCGCCAGUUCCGUACGGACGCUGCGCACGCGCAGUUCGCUGCGCGCGUUGUUCCCGGUUUCCCGCCGUUUUCCGCCUAUUCCCUCUUCUUGUCCGGGUCCCGUUUCCUCUUGUUCCGCGUCUUCCUUUUCGGGAGCUGCUUCUUGUCCACCCACCAAAGCUCCGUACUUUGUACAAAUAUGUUCCGUACUUUGUACAAAUGUUUAUAUUUAUUCAGUUUCCAGACUCAUGGCCGCCAUCGCCACUUCCGUGUUUCUGGGCGCAUGCGCCCUGCUGCUCGCACCCAACGGCCGCAGCUCUGCAGAUUCGCCACGUAUUGGCACCAGAUGCUGCGGGAAGAGCUCAGCUGCAGUUCUACACAUUGGCCAAACGGUGGCGCCAUAGAAAGAAGCGAAGAGAGGGGGGGAAAGAAAGAACGAAAGGGGGGAAAAGCGAAGCGGGGGAAAAAGAAGCAAGAGGGGGUGAAGAAAGAAGCGAAGAUGGGGGGGAAAGAACGAAGAGGGGGGAAGAAAGAAGGCAAGAGGGGGGGGAAGAAAGAAGCGAAGGGGGGAAGAAAGCAACGAAGAGGGGGGAAGAAAGAAGCGAAGAGGGCGGGAAGAAAGAAGCAAAGAGGGGGGGAAGAAAGACGAAUGAGGUGAAGAAAGAAGCGAAGAGGGGGGAAAAGCGAAGGAGUGAGAAAGAGCAAGAGGGGGGGAAAGAAAGAAUCGAAGGGGGGGGGAAAAAGCGAAGGGGGGGGGAAGAAAGAAGCGAAGGGGGGGGGAAAAGAAGCGAAGAGAGAAAUGUCCUAAACUGGACUUGGAAGCCUCCUAAUGUGUGCAGUGCCCUCAGAGAGUGUAAGUGGCACUUUAUUUAUGAUGGAAAUUCCACUUCUAAACCAAAUAAAACAACAAAAGUCCAAAAAAUAAUUAUAAAAAUAAAAAAGCCACUUAGAUGUCAAUGCAGCCACCGUCCAUUAAAAGCAAUGAAUGUGGUGUAA
rnacentral:lncRNA from 1 species